rnacentral:siRNA from 1 species
CCCGGUGUGUAGAUGUUUGAGCCA